rnacentral:ribozyme from 1 species
GGGGAAGGUUUGAGUGUAGGGCCAUCCGUGUCCUUGCCGGUAUCUUCCUCGGUAGGCAGAGUUGGGGUAACAGUA